GGUUGUGUAGUGUAGCGGUUAUCACUCCGGAUUCUGAUUACAUCAGAACAUUCCGGCAACCCCGGUUCGAUUCCGGGCACGACCU